GCCUCCGUGGUGUAAUGAUCAGCACGCUGGGCACGUAUUCCAUAGGUCCGUGGUUCAAGUCCCGGCGAAGGCG
rnacentral:tRNA from 1 species